AUGGUGCUAUCACUCCACAAGGGAACUAUAGAACAGUUCGAUAUUUCGGGUAGUGAAAGCUAUCAUGAUGAGUUCGCUAGGUGGAUGCUUAUGCUGUCAAGCAGAUCACCAAGAUCAAUUAUAAUUGAGUUGAAGUCAAGGCCAAGGUAUAGGAUACCCUCGUGCAUCUUUUCUAUCAGCCAUCUGAAGUCUCUGCACCUAGAAAAUUGCACCAUCAGCUUGCCCCGGGUAUUCCAAGGUUUCAAGAGCCUAACUGACCUAAGCCUCAAAUUUUUCUCCUCCACAAACAUGGAUAUCCAAAAUCUGAUCUCAUUCUGCCCUGUACUGACCAAUUUGAUACUAAAUUAUUUUGAGGGCAUCAACCGUCUAAACAUUCAGGCUCCUGAACUAGAAUAUCUUAAUGUUGUUGGGGACUUUGAAGACAUUGAUUUGGAUGCCCCUAAUCUGAAGGCAGCCAUUCUCUUCCAUUAUCACAAAUCUAAAGCAUAUCAAUCUAUUCCAAUUGCGCAUGACAAGGAAAGCCAUGUCAAGAAGUCAUUGGGAAGCCUAAGUGAGAUCAAAACACUUGGAAUUUCUAGCAGUUUCAUGAAGUAUCUAUCAAAGGCGUGCAUACUUACGAAACUCCCUAUCGUGUUCACUCGCCUGGAGGAUAUUUAUCUUACGAUAUGCUUUUGGGACCAGAGGCAAGUCUUGACCGUGUGUUCAUUGUUUCAGAAUGCCCCUAACUUGAAGAAGCUUCUCAUGUGGAGUUACCCUGGGAGCACAUAUGAUCAGGAUCAGGCGAGCAUUCAAGAGCUUACCCUGCAAAUGCAAAUGAACCAUCUCAUAACGGUCAGUGUGAACGAUUUUCGGGGUUUGGACCACGAAGUCCAUUUCGUGGCAAAGCUAUUGAGCUGGGCACCUGCUUUGGAAGAAGUGAGAAUAGAGUGGAAGGGCGAAAUGGACCGCAGCAUGGUUCUUACUAAGCUAUUAGCGCUGCCGAGGGUGUCUCCCAGGGCCAAGAUCAUCGUUACAUGA
rnacentral:rRNA from 1 species